CAUCCUUUUCAGCUAAACCUUAGACUCAAGACGAUGAGAUGGCGUCUCGUUCUAUUCAAGAGCGAGGCUAAUAAAUACGCGAGUCUUCUUGAAAUGAAAGGAAAAUUACUAGUUCAGAUUGCGACGUUGCAGAAAGCCAACAGAGAUGCGAAGAAAGGCAACAUCUAGUAGAUUAUUUAAUAGGCACAGGGAGGUACUUUUAAUUAAGUAUAUUGUGUGAUUCAUGACUUUUAUUUUUUUUCUCUGGUUAUGUAAAUAGUGCUACACUGUAUUGUUACUGUACAUUAAACGAUGCAAUGAAUAAAACUGUUUAUAUUGUUAUGUUAUAUCAUGUUAUAUAUAUAUUUCACAUGCUAUAUCAUGUUAAAUAUUAUACUAUAUUUUAUAUGUUAUCUUAUACAUGUUAUAUAUAUUAUUAUAUUAUCAUAUUACAUUGACAUAUAUGAAGAUAGGGAUUUCUACUACAGAUAGCAAUAUUUUUGUUGAUAGUUCUUUUAUUGAAAAAAUAGUUUGUGUAAAAAUAACUUUCCCAUCACCAAGGAAAUAAAAUCCCUAAUGUGCUUCAGUUAAUGAGUAUCUCACCAAUAAAAAAUUGAAUCCAU